rnacentral:rRNA from 1 species
UACGUAGGUGGCAAGCGUUGUCCGGAUUUAUUGGGCGUAAAGCGCGCGCAGGUGGUUUCUUAAGUCUGAUGUGAAAGCCCACGGCUCAACCGUGGUGGGUCAUUGGAAACUGGGGAACUUGAGUGCAGAAGAGGAUAGUGGAAUUCCAAGUGUAGCGGUGAAAUGCGUAGAGAUUUGGAGGAACACCAGUGGCGAAGGCGACUGUCUGGUCUGUAACUGACACUGAGGCGCGAAAGCGUGGGGAGCAAACAGG